rnacentral:rRNA from 1 species
CUGAUGCACCAUGCCGCGUGUGUGAAGAAGGCCUUCGGGUUGUAAAGCAGCGAGGAGGAAAGGUUACUGGCUAAUAUCCAGUAGCUGUGACGUUACUCGCAGAAGAAGCACCGGCUAACUCCGUGCCAGCAGCCGCGGUAAUACGGAGGGUGCGAGCGUUAAUCGGAAUUACUGGGCGUAAAGCGUGCGCAGGCGGUUUGUUAAGCGAGAUGUGAAAGCCCCGGGCUCAACCUGGGAACUGCAUUUUGAACUGGCAAACUAGAGUCUUGUAGAGGGGGGUAGAAUUCCAGGUGUAGCGGUGAAAUGCGUAGAGAUCUGGAGGAAUACCGGUGGCGAAGGCGGCCCCCUGGACAAAGACUGACGCUCAUGCACGAAAGCGUGGGGAGCAAACAGGAUUAGAUACCCUGGUAGUCCACGCCGUAAACGAUGUCUACUCGAGUGGGUCUUGACAGGGCUCUCAACUAACGCAU